rnacentral:rRNA from 1 species
GAGGGGCAGCAUGGAGUCAGCUUGCUGACUCUGAUGGCGACCGGCGCACGGGUGAGUAACGCGUAUCCAACCUUCCCUAUAGUAGGGGAUAGCCCGGCGAAAGUCGGAUUAAUACCCUAUGUUUUCCGAUGCAGGCAUCUAAAAGGGAACAAAGGCUUGCCGCUAUAGGAUGGGGAUGCGUCUGAUUAGCUUGAUGGCGGGGUAACGGCCCACCAUGGAAUCGAUCAGUAGGGGUUCUGAGAGGAAGGUCCCCCACAUUGGAACUGAGACACGGUCCAAACUCCUACGGGAGGCAGCAGUGAGGAAUAUUGGUCAAUGGCCGCGAGGCUGAACCAGCCAAGUAGCGUGCAGGAUGACGGCCCUAUGGGUUGUAAACUGCUUUUAUGCGGGGAUAAAGUGACGUACGUGUGCGUUUUUGCAGGUAUCGCAUGAAUAAGGACCGGCUAAGGUCCGUGCCAGCAGCCGCGGUAAUACGGAAGGUCCGGGCGUUAUCCGGAUUUAUUGGGUUUAAAGGGAGCGCAGGCGGGCGUUUAAGCGUGACGUGAAAUGUAGCCGCUCAACGGCUGAACUGCGUCGCGAAGUGGAUGCCUUGAGUGAGUACGACGCGGACGGAAUUCGCGGUUGUAGCGGUGAAAUGCUUAGAUAUCAGGAGGAACCCCGAUUGCGAAGGCAGUCCGCGAGUCCUUUACUGACGCUAAAGCUCGAAGGUGCGGGUAUCGAACAGGAUUAGAUACCCUGGUAGUCCGCACUGGUAAACGAUGGAUGCCCGCUGUAUGCGAUAGACAGUAUGCGGCCAAGCGAAAGCGUUAAGCAUCCCACCUGGGGAGACGCUCGGCAACGGUGAAACUCAAAGGAAUUGACGGGGGCCCGCACAAGCGGAGGAACAUGUGGUUUAAUUCGAUGAUACGCGAGGAACCUUACCCGGGCUUGAACUGCAGGAGAAGUAUACAGAGAUGUUGACGUCCUUCGGGACUCCUGUGGAGGUGCUGCAUGGUUGUCGUCAGCUCGUGCCGUGAGGUGUCGGCUUAAGUGCCAUAACGAGCGCAACCCCUCUCGUCAGUUGCCAUCAGGUAGUGCUGGGCACUCU